rnacentral:rRNA from 1 species
UACAGAGGGGGCAAGCGUUAUUCGGAAUUAUUGGGCGUAAAGGCGCGUAGGCGGCCUGGCAAGUGGAAGGUGAAAUCCCUCGGCUUAACCGAGGAACUGCCCUCCAAACUGCUUGGCUUGAGUCCGGGAGAGGUGAGUGGAAUUCCCAGUGCAGCGGUGAAAUGCGUAGAUAUUGGGAGGAACACCAGUGGCGAAGGCGGCUCACUGGACCGGAACUGACGCUGAGGCGCGAAAGCGUGGGGAGCAAACGGG